rnacentral:rRNA from 1 species
CAGUCGCCGCGGGAAAACGGCGGGUGCAGGCGUUAAUCGGAAUUACUGGGCGUAAAGCGCACGCAGGCGGUUUGUUAAGUCAGAUGUGAAAUCCCCGAGCUUAACUUGGGAACUGCAUUUGAAACUGGCAAGCUAGAGUCUUGUAGAGGGGGGUAGAAUUCCAGGUGUAGCGGUGAAAUGCGUAGAGAUCUGGAGGAAUACCGGUGGCGAAGGCGGCCCCCUGGACAAAGACUGACGCUCAGGUGCGAAAGCGUGGGGAGCAAACAGGAUUAGAUACCCGCGUAGUCCCUGUCUCUUAUAC